rnacentral:rRNA from 1 species
AUUGAACGCUGGCGGCAGGCCUAACACAUGCAAGUCGAACGGUAACAGGAAGAAGCUUGCUUCUUUGCUGUCGCGUGGCGGACGGGUGUGUCAUGUCUGGGACCCUCCUUGAUGGCGGGGGUUACCUACUGGAACCGGUAGCUAUUCCCGCAUAACUUUGCAAGCCCAAAGUGCGGGACUUUCGGGCCUCUUGCCUUCGGCUGUGCCCAGAUGGGAUUAGCUAGUAGGUGGGGUAACGGCUCACCUAGGCGACGAUCCCUAGCUGGUCUGAGAGGAUGACCAGCCACACUGGAACUGAGACACGGUCCAGACUCCUACGGGAGGCAGCAGUGGGGAAUAUUGCACAAUGGGCGCAAGCCUGAUGCAGCCAUGCCGCGUGUAUGAAGAAGGCCUUCGGGUUGUAAAGUACUUUCAGCGGGGAGGAAGGGAGGAAAGUGAAUACCUGUGCGCAUUGACGUUACCCGCAGAAGAAGCACCGGCUAACUCCGUG